GCUAAACGCGAAGAACCUUACCAGGCCUUGACAUGUCCAGUUUGAUCGGCAGAGAUGCCUUUCUUCACUUCGGGUGGCUGGAACACAGGUGCUGCAUGGCUGUCGUCAGCUCGUGUCGUGAGAUGUUGGGUUAAGUCCCGCAACGAGCGCAACCCUCGUCCUUAGUUGCUAACAUUCAGUUGAGAACUCUAAGGAAACUGCCUAUGAUAAGUAGGAGGAAGGUGGGGACGACGUCAAGUCAUCAUGGCCCUUACGGCCUGGGCUACACACGUGCUACAAUGGCGGCUACAAUGGGCAGCGAUCCCGCGAGGGUUAGCUAAUCCCCAAAAGCCGUCUCAGUUCGGAUUGUACUCUGCAACUCGAGUACAUGAAGUUGGAAUCGCUAGUAAUCGUAGAUCAGCAUGCUACGGUGAAUACGUUCCCGGGUCUUGUACACACCG
rnacentral:rRNA from 1 species